rnacentral:rRNA from 1 species
UACGGAGGAUCCAAGCGUUAUCCGGAUUCAUUGGGUUUAAAGGGUCCGCAGGCGGAUCAAUAAGUCAGGGGUGAAAUCCUACGGCUCAACCGUAGAACUGCCCUUGAUACUGUUGGUCUAGAGUACAGUUGAGGUGGGCGGAAUGUGUCAUGUAGCGGUGAAAUGCAUAGAUAUGACACAGAACACCGAUCGCGAAGGCAGCUCACCAAGCUGUAACUGACGCUAAGGGACGAAAGCGUGGGGAUCAAACAGG